rnacentral:rRNA from 1 species
AAGCAUGCAAGUCGAGCGGCAGGCGCAGCAAUGCGCUGAGAGCGGCGGACUGGUGAGUAACGCGUGGGUAAUCUACCUUUGGCAUGGGGAUAGCCACUAGAAAUAGUGGGUAAUACCGAAUACGUUCCCUGGGGGGAGAUUUCAGGGAAGAAAGGGUGCUACGGCACCGGCCAAAGAUGAGCUCGCGUCCCAUUAGCUAGUUGGUGAGGUAACGGCCCACCAAGGCGAUGAUGGGUAGCCGGCCUGAGAGGGUGUACGGCCACACUGGGACUGAGAUACGGCCCAGACUCCUACGGGAGGCAGCAGCUAAGAAUAUUCCGCAAUGGACGAAAGUCUGACGGAGCGACGCCGCGUGGAUGAUGAAGGCCGAAAGGUUGUAAAGUCCUUUUGCUGGGGAAGAAUAAGUGUGGGAGGGAAUGCCCGCAUGAUGACAUGAACCGGCGAAUAAGCCCCGGCCAACUACGUGCCAGCAGCCGCGGUAACACGUAGGGGGCGAGCGUUGUUCGGAAUUACUGGGCGUAAAGGGCAUGUAGGCGGUCUGGUAAUCCUGGCGUGAAAGGCCACAGCUCAACUGUGGGAUUGCGUUGGGAACUGCUGGGCUUGAGUUAUGGAGAGGGAGCUAGAAUUCCUGGUGUAGGGGUGAAAUCUGUAGAUAUCAGGAAGAAUACCGAUGGCGAAGGCAAGCUCCUGGCCGAUGACUGACGCUGAGGUGCGAAAGUGUGGGGAUCAAACAGGAUUAGAUACCCUGGUAGUCCACACUGUAAACGAUGUGCACUAGGUGCUGGGGCGGUAGCUUCAGUGCCGGA